AGGUCGGUGGCACCAUCAUGGCGGCGGAGCGGAGCGCGAGCGGGAGGCGGUUAAAGAGCCGGCGGCGGGAGGGCUCGAGCGCGGCUGUUGGUCCGGCGCUAUCAACGGUCAGUGUUAGCGGCAAGACCGGCGUUCCGGACACUGAAGGGAGCCUCGAAAGAAAGGCUGCAUUGCAGGUGGCUUUGAGGAAGAAACGUGAAUGUGAGGCAAAAGCUCUUCAUGUUGUUGAACAACUGCUUGAAAUAAAUGUCACAGAAGAAUUUCUGUUGGAUUGUGUAAAGUUUAUUACUCCACUCCAUUAUCAGGAUGUUGUGGAAGAGCGUUCCAUCAUCAAACAGUGUGGCUAUCCUGCUUGCCAAAAUAAACUUGAGAAUGUACCUAAACAGCAAUACAAAAUAUCUACCAAAACCAAUCGAGUUUAUGACAUUACUGAAAGAAAGUGUUUUUGCAGCAAUUUCUGUUACAAAGCUUCCAAAUAUCUAGAAGCUCAGAUUCCAAAGAACCCACUAUGGUCACGGGAACAAGAAAGAUCUUCAGCAUGUCAGUUAUUAAAAGAACAAAGAGGUAGUGCUGGAGAAGAAGUGAGAUUUCAAAGUUCAAGCAUCCAGGUUUCAGAUGUUGAUAAACCUCCCUUUAUGGAAGAUCAGAAUGUGUCUACCUCCUCCUCAAGUGAGAACAAUAGCAGUGACUCUGACCAAGAGUUUGUUUCCACCAUUCUUUUUGGAGAAAAGUGUAGUUUAAAAACUACAGAGCAGAAACUGUUCAAAAAACAGCAACGAGGCAUAGCUGCAAAACGUAAGAAAAUGGCACCUGUGCCAAAACAUUUAGAAAUGGAUCAUGAAGUAGAAAAUGUUGCGCAACAAUUGAAGAAAUGCCAUGUUAACAAUACUGAGGAAUCAAGUCCUAGAUUGUCCCAAAGUGUAGAAGCUGAACAAUUGACCUUUGCGCCAAAAGAAAAGUGCUCUCUGCCAUCAGAGAAAAACCCAUCUCCAAUGACUACAUUGACAGAAUUAAAAGAUAAUAAAAAGCUUGUGGCAGAUAAAAACUUUACAGCAUAUGGUCUAAGCAAGAAGGGUGCUGCUUCACUGAGGAUGCUGAUAGUAAAAUCAAAACAUUCGUCCCAUUCUAGUUCAGGUAGAUGUGUUUCAGUAGCUGAACUGCCUGGUGUUAAAAGUAAUGUUCUGGAAAUACUAAGACGAACACUGAGUGAAUGGAAUACAGAAGAAACAUUAAGAUUUCUUUAUGGUUCCAAUUUAAAAUGCAUGAAAAUACCAACAAAUUGGCCAAGUCAAACACCUUACGUAACUGAGCAAGAAGAGCUUGAUGAAGAUGACUUGGACAGUCUGGAAGUGAUUGAAAUCACCAACCCUAAUGAAAAUGCUGGAAACAAUAAAAAUGGCUUGACCAAAGAUGUUCAGGUUGGAAGCCCAGAGACCAUUGCAAGACCAUUACCAAAUUUUGAACAAAUAAAGCAGGAAUCCGAAUUACUUAAUUUGAAGGUCAGCGAGUUUUAUAAGGGGCAGUAUGUUUUGCCUGAGGAUGUUGAAAGCAAUUGUGAUGAAAAUUCUCAAUCCAUAAAUUAUGUGCAGGGAAAUGAAGAGGAGAAUCCAGUUCUUCCAUUGGUAGAUUUUGCUGCGCAGCACCAGAUCCGCAAACGGAUUGUGUUGGAUAGACUUCAAAAAAUUUUGCCUGAAUUAUUGGGACCUCUUCAACUUGGGAUGUCUGAUGUAUUUUCUGAACUAAGCAGUCUUGUAAAAACGUUCAGGCUAACUAACACAAAUAUCGUUCACAAAACUCCAGAAUGGACUUUAAUUGCAAUCGUGCUGCUUUCAGUGUUAGGUGUGAAGAUUUCACUACUACAGGAAUCUCUCCAGAGGCUCUCCUCGGAACUGUUUAUAUCUACAAUUAUGGAAGAAUUUCAUAUCCAGAGUGGAGACCUGGAGAACUUGAGGAAAAUUUUCAAAAGUCCCGACCAGAAUUGAGAAUGAUGAGUAAAGAACUACCAUUGCAUGGUGUGGGAACUGAUGCAAGUGCCAAUCCAGAGUCAAAUUAACUCAUAAACGAAGAAGCGUCAGUUUGAAAAGAAGAUUGGUCCUAUUUGAUAUUUUGUUUCAGUGGAACCCCAGAUUCCAUCGAACUGUGUAAUAAAAUCAACAAGAAUUGUUUCUUGAAGAAGAUAAACAACAUGAUGUAUUUCUAUGACACAAAGCUUAUAAUUUGAUUAACCUUAACAUACUGAUCAUGAUUAAGGUACUGUUUCAAAAAAAAAUCUAAAUCAUGUUGGAACACAAUACCUAAAUAAACCUAUUCCUUACCUGC